ACACGACUACAUUAGAUACCCGGGUAGUCCCAGCCCUAAACGAUGCGCGUUAGGUGUAUCGGUGACCACGAGUCACCGAGGUGCCGUAGGGAAGCCGUGAAGCGAGCCACCUGGGAAGUACGGCCGCAAAGGCUGAAACUUAAAGGAAUUGCGGGGGAGCACAACAACGGGUGGAGCUUGCGGUUUAAUUGGAUUCAACGCCGGAAAUCUUACCGGGACCGACAGCAACAUGAAGGCCAAGCUGAAGACUUUGCCGGAUUAGCUG
rnacentral:rRNA from 1 species